CAGGCAAAACCCAUUUAUGGUGGCUGGCUGCUCCUGGCUCCAGAUGGGACUGACUUUGAUAACCCAGUGCACCGGUCUCGGAAAUGGCAGCGCCGAUUCUUCAUCCUCUACGAGCACGGCCUCUUGCGCUACGCCCUGGAUGAGAUGGUACCAUGAGUCAGGAAUGAGUGAACGAAGAAAUAAACACGUGGGGGAGAAGACACAAAAUCUCCUGUGCGGACGGGUUCCAGGCGGUCUGUGUGGCGACUCCGCCCUCAAAGAGGUGGCGCUCACCCCCCACUCCUCACGUGUGGGCCGCUCACAGCGACGUCCCUCCUGGGAGGACAGUGUGCACAGGGGGCAACAGUGACGAGCACAGCCUCAGCCCGGCGCUCGGGGCCAGCGUCGACGGUGGAAGGCCCUGCGCCCUGGACGUGGCGUGAGGAGAACGGCGCUGCCCCGCUGCGGUCUCCUCCCCAGACCCACAGCCCCGCUGUAACCACGAGGCAACACCAGACACGCCCCAGCUGAGGGACCUUCCACCACACACCUGGCGGUCAGCGUUACCACGAAUGAGGCAAGUCUGAGAGAGUGUCGCGGCGGAGAGGAGCUAAGGUGACACGACAACUGCACGUCCUGUGGGGUCUGGGACAGAAAAGGACGUGAGGAGAAACUAGGGAACUGUGAGUAAAGGAUGGACUCCAGUUAACCGUCCCGGAUCAGUACUGGUUUCAUGACCGUGAUGAACAUACCACGCUGACGUGAGCGAGACAUUACCAGGAGGGGGAACGGAGAGCUCUCUGCUAUCUUCACGACUCUCUGUAAACCUAAAUGUAUCCUAAAAUUAGAAGUUCAUUUUAAAAAUAAAAAGGAAGAAGCAGUACCAAAGAAACUGGGAGAAAGAGGAGGUUUCUCCAGGCCAGGCAGCUGGGAAGGGCCGGGAAAUGCGGUGCCGCUGGAGCUGCCCUUGGGGGGCAGCUGGAGGAAGGGAGGACCCUGACGGCUGGCAGGGAAGCCCGGGCUGGUGUCCAGCGCAGGACGGGGGGCUCGGGUCAUGGGAGCGAAGCCAGAAGGUGGGUGGGCUCAGGUCACAGUCGGAAAGUAGGGCUUUGCUCAUCCCCUGCGGCCCUGGGCACCUGCUGCUGUGACCUGGCGUUGGGAGGCUGGUGACGGUGGUGAGUCCGAGGCUGCACUGGGAAUGGCGGUUGAGGUGUAAACUAGUGCCUUCUCAGGACUCCUUGUACUUUAGUUACUAGACUCUCCUUCCGACUCGUUGCCUGAUUAAACCAGGGCAGCGGGGCCGGAACGGGGCUUGAGGCUUACUCAUCCAUUGGCACCGGGGGAACUGGCGCCUUCCCACCUUCCCACGCGUGGGCGUGGCGUGUCCCCCCGUCCUCUGUCCUCACUCCCACCUCCCUCCCCACCGUGGCCCUUCACUGCCACCUCACACGUUAUUGACUCUGCCCGUCUGACUUGUUGGACAUCGAGACCGCACGGUCAGCUCGGUGAGGACAGAGAUGGUGGUCAGUUCGGUUUGUCACUGCGUCCCCAGUGCCCGCAGUGGAGCCCGGCACAUAGUAGGUGCUCGGCGAGUUCCUCCUGAGUGGCAAAUGCUGUUGGGGGUGGCGCUUUGCCUUUAUCUACACUGGAGGUGGUGCCAGCCCUAGGUUUAUGGGGACAAAAUGUCCAUUUAUCAAGGGACCCUUAGCAUCUGCAUGUCCUCAGCUCCAGCUGAGCUCCACACCUGAGGCUUCUGCCCCCCGAGCCUGGCUCUUCCCUGGGCCUCGCCAGACCAGCCUGGUCCUGGGCCACAAGAGGCCUUUUAGACUUGGCUCCUGCAUUCCUGGCCUCCUUCCCUCCUCCCCGCAGGCUCCGCUCAUACAUUUACUGCAGUGCUGAGCUCACCGUGGCGGUGCUGUGUCCCCGGCCCUUCCGCCUCGGCCCUCCUCCUCUAGGCUCAGCAGCCUGGGCGCCUUCAGUCUGCUCCUGUGGGACUCAUCUCAGGAGCCUGUCUGCACCGCUUGCCACUCCUGUGAACCAGCUUCUGUUUAUUUCUGGUCUUUGUCGAGCCCUGACUUAAGCGCGUCCCAUCCCUGAAACACCCUCUGCUGGAGCAAGGUGGCCUCCUCGGGCUGUGGCUGCAGAGCCUGGAGCGGCAUUUCAGAGCAGCACAUGGGGGCUGAGGGGUGAAGGGGGGACAGAGCUGCUGGCUGUGUGAGCUGCAGCAUCCUGCCCCGCCCCCACCCCGGGCAUUUCUGUCAGGGGCGCCAACACUAGCCUUUCUACUCCCCCCUUGCCACGUCCUUCUUCCCCUGGCUCCAGGAAGCCACCUGGUGGCCCUGGGCUUCACGGUGCUGCCCGGCUGCUGUGCUCCCUUGGGCUGUGUGACCCCUCGUGGGUGUGCUUCGUUGCCCACCGGAUACCUGAUGUCUCAGGCCUCCUGCUCUGAUGGACGUGAGUCUUUGCCAGAAGGAAACUGUCUCUGUUGAGAAGUGAUAGGGCUGGGGGCAGGGACACUGGCUCCCUCUCCUUUGCAUCUCAGAAGAAAGUUGAGUUCAAGUCCCUUUUUUGAUGUCUGUCCUCCUCAGCCCCCCAGCUCUGCCCCUCGGGACUGCUCCUGCUCUGUCUUUCGCCCCGUCUUUUGCCCCUUUCCUGCCGCACCCCUGCCCCAGCAAGGCUCUGCUCUCAGCCCUGAGCUGCCUCUGAGAGGCCUUUCCAGCUCCAACAGUCAGAUGGUCCUUGGGGUCUCUGUCCCUCCAGCUCCCAUCAUCUUUAGGUACCAUCGUUUGGGGGACCUCUCCCAGAGUUGCUGCCAGAACUGUCUUAUGCCCCAAGGGUGGCCGUAGCAAAGGCUGUUGGUGGCAGCUUGCUUUCUUCACGAAGCCAGCUGGUGACCUUGCCUUCCAGCCAGCUGCUGACCUCCGUCCUCUGCUGUCUCUGCCUUUCCUGCUUCUGCCUGUCUGAGUCCCGUCGCUUGUGUCAUUAGCCUAAAAGGGUCCAUUUUCUAUGAGGGCAGGGGGAUAAAAUUGCCCGCGAAAAGUAGCUGGAACAUAAGCCAAGUGCAGAAAAGAAAAGAAGUUCAGUUCUUGAGUUUAGCAUCUUGUCUGGGGUCAGAGCCACAGUCAAGGGGUCUCCCUCUCCUGGGCCCCCCUCCGCAGCAGACCACGUCCUCGGGCCCUGCGGGCUGUGGCCGCCUCGGGCCCCUUUGUUCCAGUCCUACCAGCAGGCCUGCCCUCCGGCUUCCGUGGGCCAGACCCUGCUCAUCCUUGUCGGGUGACCUGAGCGCUCGCUUUCUCCUCCACACGGCCUCUGCCGGGACCCUGUGAGCGCAUCACCUCCCCGGGCGCUCCCAGCCCCAUACCUGCUGUCCUUGGACUCCUGUCACUUACUGCUACUUGAAAUGGGAUUGUUCUUUGUUCUUUUUAUUUCCCUUCAUCACCACGAGAGUAAAGUGAGCUUUUGUAAAGGUGACAUUCUGUCUGUCCUGUUCUUACCUCUGUCCCUGGCACAAAGCGCAGGGGCUCGGUGAACACCUGUUGUCUGAAUCCAGACUUUUGCCCGUGCAUUCCAAGGUGACCCUGGGGUCUUUCAGGCAGGCCUCGAGGGCUUCUCCUCUCUCUCCCUCUGUAGAUGUGAUUAUAACUGUCAAGUGGAUCUGGUCAGAGUCCAGAACUUAGGCAGGUGUGAGUACAGCACCAGUUGUGCGUCAGGCAGGUAAGGACGUAUUUCCUCCAGGAGUGUCCUAGGUCGGCUCCCAAAGACUGCGCGAGUCUCCAGGAGCAGAGGUCGAUACGAGGGACACUGUGCAGGCCCGCAGAAAAACGGGAAGGGGCGUGGGUGCCGGGCGGGAACCGGGCAAGGCAAAACUGUAAAGGUCGGUUUUAGUGGUUCUGCUGAUGGGGAAGGAGAUUGAUUUACUUCAAGGGCUGGAGCUAAGGAAGUGAGCCACCUGGCCCUGGGGUGGACCCGGCCAUUGUGCCCAGCUGCCCCAGUCCUGUUGGAGUCAGAAGACUCACCUGUCCUGGGUGCUCUUUCGUACGUAAUUUGUACCUGAGGUCACCACACCUUCCAGGAAAAUGGUUCUUACGUCGUCCAGGUCUGGCUGAGGUGUGGGGCACUGACCCCUGUACGAGAGGGGAGCAGCAGGGCCCUGGGCCCUGUGCUGCCUGUGUGGGGUGCUUCUCCCACCCUGGGCCGAGGAUGGGGAAUGGGGAAAGGUAGGGAGCUGGGGAUGAGAGGGCUGCGGUCCGUGCCCGUUGUUCUGUUCUGUGCAUGUUGGGGAGGGCCUCACAGGAGGCCACUGUGCGUUGGGCGAGUUGGCCGGGCUCCAUCCAUAGAACGACCACUUCCACUCAGGGAGCCUGUUGGUCUAAAUGCGGUGUUUCUUUUUGCCUGUUUCCCUGCGUCGGUUACUGCCGUGCGUGUUGUCACUCCCAAGGUGGGAAUCCAAGUUGGCCUGGGCACUUGGUUCUCGGGGUAUGUAUGUGCGUGCACGCGUGUGUGUUCAGAUACAGAUAACAUAAAACUUACCAUCUUGACCAUUUUCAAGGCAGCUCAGUGGCAUUAAAUACAUCACAUUGUUGUGUAACUAUCACCAUCAUCCAUCUUUGGAAUUUUUCAUCUUCCCAAAUUGAAACUCCAUACCAAUUAAACACUAAUACUUGUCCUUUUGUGUCUCGUGUAUUUCACUUAACAUAAUGUUUUCAGGGUUCAUCCAUUUUGUAGCAUGUCAGAA